GACAGAGGAUGCAAGCGUUAUCCGGAAUGAUUGGGCGUAAAGAGCGUGUAGGCGGCCCGAUAAGUCCGCCGUGAAAGCCCAGGGCUCAACCCUGGGAUGCCGGUGGAUACUGUCGGGCUAGAGUUCGGAAGAGGCAAGUGGAAUUCCUGGUGUAGCGGUGGAAAUGCGCAGAUAUCAGGAGGAACACCUAUGGCGAAGGCAGCUUGCUGGGACGACACUGACGCUGAGACGCGAAAGCGUGGGGAGCGAACAGG
rnacentral:rRNA from 1 species